CUCCGGCGAUUCCGACAUCAGAUUUACUGGGUUCAACUUCUUUUAGGGUUUCUUUCUCCGGUGGAAAAAAGAUCCAGAUGAAGAUGGAGCGGUGGAGAUACCGUCGACUUAGAUCUACCUUACCACCAUCGAGCCAGAUCUGAGGUUACACGACUAAGGAAUAUGAGAACCAUAACUUUGCAGAUCUGAGUUCUUAGAGGAAUAUUGACAGCCCGGAUCUGGUACGUUUGUAGCUGAUUAUGUUUGUUACAGAUCUGGUAUGUUUGUAGCUGAUUUACAUGCUUAUGUUACUGAUUAUGUUUGUUACAGAUCUGGUAUGUUUGUAGCUGAUUAUGUUUGUUAUAGAUCUAAUGUUACUGAUAAGAUUCAGUUUUGCUUUUACAGUUGCCGGUGGGUGGUAAAGGAGUUGUGUACUCCAGAUUUUGUGUACUCCGGAUUCAUUUGACAAAGGAGUUGUGUACUCCGGAUUUU